UUUUUUUUUUUUUUUGGGGGGGGGGGGUAAGCCUAUUCUUUAGCCCAAACUGGCCUCAGACUCAUGGCAAUCCUCCUGCCUUAGCUUACAUGAGUGACCAUGCCCAGCUUACAUAAUCUUCUUUCCAGAUGAGAUUGUGGCUCUGAAGCGGUUAAAGAUGGAGAAGGAGAAGGAAGGCUUCCCAAUCACAUCACUGAGGGAAAUCAACACCAUCCUCAAGGCCCAGCACCCCAAUAUCGUCACUGUCAGAGUAAGGUUCAGCUUCCACAUUCGGCAUGCCCUACCUCUGUUGAGUCUUACCCCCUGAAGGGACAAGGAAGAGGGUUCCUUGAUAUCCUGGGCUCAGGCAAUAGCACUUCCAAGGGCAUCAGCUUCCCAAGAUGUCUUAGUAGUUCUUUGUUGCUCACAGCAUGUGUGACUUCAAUUUCAGGUUUCCAAGAACCAGUGUUUUCUAGGGUGGGGCUGGAGGUAGAAGCCAUGUCCAGAAUGCAUAUACUGACUGUUAAUUCCUAGGAAAUUGUUGUGGGAAGCAACAUGGACAAGAUCUACAUUGUGAUGAACUAUGUGGAACACGACCUCAAGAGCCUAAUGGAGACAAUGAAACAGCCCUUCCUGCCAGGGGAGGUGAAGACCCUGAUGAUUCAGCUGUUGAGUGGGGUGAAGCACCUCCAUGACAAUUGGAUCCUACAUCGUGACCUUAAGACCUCUAACCUUCUGCUGAGCCAU
rnacentral:lncRNA from 1 species